AUUGAACGCUGGCGGCAGGCCUAACACAUGCAAGUCGAGCGGAUGAGGGGAGCUUGCUCCUGGAUUCAGCGGCGGACGGGUGAGUAAUGCCUAGGAAUCUGCCUGGUAGUGGGGUAUAACGUCCGGAAACGGGCGCUAAUACCGCACACGUCCUGAGGGAGAAAGUGGGGGAUCUUCGGACCUCACGCUAUCAGAUGAGCCUAGGUCGGAUUAGCUAGUUGGUGGGGUAAAGGCCUACCAAGGGGACGAUCCGCAACUGGUCUGAGAGGAUGGUAAGUCACACUAGAACUGGAACACGGACCAGGAGCCUAAGGGAGGGAGCAGGUGGGAAUAGUGGGCAGUUGGGGGAAACCUUGUACAAGCAUGGCGCGUGUGUGGAAGAAGUCCUCCGAUUGGAAAGACCGUUUAGGGGGGGGGAAGGGCAGUAAGUUUAUACCUUGCUUGUUUGACGGUACCAACAGAAUAAGCACCGGCUAACUUCGUG
rnacentral:rRNA from 1 species